AGAGGGAACGCAUAGGGAUUACCUAUAAAAUCAGAACAGUAACCUCAAGAAGGAAAUCUUUAGUAAAUCAAAAUUGCCAAAAUACAAAAGUUUUUUUUUUUAAUUUUUAUUUAUUUAUUUUUUUUUGAGACAAGGUCUUGCUCUGUUGCCCAGGCUGGAGUGCAAUGGCAUGAUUUCAGCUCACUGCAACCUCUACCUCUCAGGCUCAAGCAAUUCUCCUGUCUCAGCUUCCACUGCGCCCGGCUAACAAAAUGUUUUCUUAAAGGCAAUAUUUGAAAAAAAGAAAAUACCUACACCUAAUGAGAACGUGAUCAUGACUCCAAUGGUGGCUAAAAAACAAAGGCUGCUGAUCAGCUAACUGAUGCAGUACUCAGGAAAGCUAUGAAAACCUAAGGAAGUGAGAAGCCCCAGGCCCAGCAUUCUUAAUUAUUUGGGAGUAAUAUUCACAUAUGUUAGGGGACAUUUCUGUAACUGGAAUGAAUACUCUUUAAUCUCCAAAGAGGUUUAAAUGCUUGGAAAUCUGCCACAGAAUCUCACUAUUUCUAAGAGACUAAUAAUCUGAGCAAUUCUGCACAAGAAAAACCUAGAGCCUCUAAAGAAGAAUUCCCAAGGGCUUUGCAAUUGUGGAAUUUAUUGCAAAUAAAAUAAUUUCAAUAGACUUUACAAAGGUAAAAGGACUGGGUUAUGACAUCCAGCAUUGUGACAUGGUAAAAGCAACAGACUUGAAAUCUGGCUCUGCCAUGCAUGGACCAGAAAACUCUGGACAAAUCCCUGAACUUCUCCUGGUUUCUCUCUUUUAUAAAAUGAAGGUCAUUUAGAAGGUUCAUUAAAUAGAGAAGGUAAAAGUUUGUUAUAAACUAUAAAGCACUUAGAAGAGCCCCUGGCAUAUUCUAAAUACUCACUAUUAUUAGCUCGACCUGGGAAAAGCAAAGCCUGCUUUAAAUAUGAAGCCCAUCUCAGAGGGGGAAAAAGUUCCCUGGAUAACAGCCAUGGUGUUGACACAACAGUGCCUGGCUCUGGCAAAAAUGCCUAUUACAUCAAAAAUUGAUAAACUAAAAUGUCAGCCCAUCUACCUCAACUCUUGACCAAUUCCAAGAAAAAGGAUUCUACACAGCAUUCUAUUUUGGCUUAAAUAAGUUGUCAGGCUGAGAGCUUUGAUCAAAGCUUGAUGCUAGCCAAUUUACUUACUUGCCUGACAUUAAGUCUAGUAUAAAUUCUUCUAACUAGACUCCUUGAAUUAAAUCUGGAAUACAGCUUACCAAUCUAAGUAGACAGGCCAAUUAAAGUAACAGUUUUAGAGAAAUGAUUCUUAAUAAGAGUAGGUUGGGGCCGGGCACAGUGGCUCACGCCUGUAAUCCCAGCACUUUGGGAGGCCGAGGUGGGCGGAUCACCUGAGGUCAGGAGUUCAAGACCACCCUGGCCAACAUGGUGAAACCCCGUCUCUAGUAAAAAUAACAAAAAUUAGCUGGGCAUGGUGGUGAGCAUCUGAAUCCCAGCUACUUGGGAGGCUGAGACAGGAGAACUGCUUUAACCCAGGAAGCGGAGGUUGCAGUGAGUGGAGAUUGCUCCAUGGCACUCCAGCCUAGGCAAAGUGCGGAGUCUCACAAACAAACAAAAAAAAAAAAAAAAAAAAGAGUAGGUGGAAUUUGGGCACAGUGGCCCAUACCUGUAAUCCUCACACUUUGGGAGGCCUAGGCGGGUGGAUCACCUGAGCUCAGGAGUUUGAGACCAGCGUGGCCAACAUGGUGAAACCCUGUCUCUACUAAAAAUACCAAAAACCUAGCUGGGUGUGGUGGCAGAUGCCUGUAUUCCCAGCUACUUGGGAGGCUGAGGCAGGAGAAUCACUCGAACCCAGGAGACAGAGGUUACAGUAAGCCAAGAUUGCUCCAUUGCACUCCAGCCUGGGCGACAAGAGUGAAACUCCGUGUCAAAAAAAAAAAAAAAGAGUAGGUGGAAUUUCAGAAAUGCCUAAGAUUGGUAGAACAAGGAUAGAAUAUACAGUUUGAAAGUCAUAUUCAAUAUAAUAAUAACUGUAUAUGGGAAAGAAGUUAUUAUCGUUUCUAUAAUACAAACUUAAGAGAACGCAAGAUCAAAUACUCUUGGCUGAUGAGGAUAAGAGGUUGGAUAUUAUAGACUGGCGCGGUGGAAGGGUGUUUCUCAGAAUGAAGAGGAGGUAUGAGAUUUUUGUUUCCCAAAAGAGGCCAUGAGUUUUAAGAUUAAGGAACGCUGUUCUACAGGAAAGUUGAAGAUUCCUG
rnacentral:lncRNA from 1 species